rnacentral:lncRNA from 1 species
GUUUCCCAGUCGCAAUGCAGCAAAGCAGAAGCAGACAACUAGGCACAAAGCAACAGAGUUUUAAAGUUUUCUUCUCCUGCUACUACUUAGCAUGUCUUACAUGAGGAGUAUUUACCUUUGUUUAGCCAGGAGCAGAGAUGCAUCCUGAAUGUACACGAUGGCUUCUAACUUGGCAGCGUGAAUUUUCAGCUGAGCAGGUACUGCUCGGAGACUUGUAACCAAACCGCCUCUGAUGGAGCACGGCUGGUCUCCCACCAUGUGUGUGAAUAGUUUGGGGGCUUCUUAUGCCACGCUGCUCUACCUGCAGGAAUAAAGGCUAGGACAAAGGAGAGGAUGCUUGCUAUGGUUUGUCUGGCUGGGGCCUGUGCGAGCGACUCACCGCACUGAUGCUGUGUGACUCCCCAGCUCACAUUUAAGGCUGGUCACGGGGCUGGCGCAGAUCCCCACUCCUCAGUUAGCGCACGGUUUAAAGGAGAAACCAGACUCCCUGACCUAAAUCACUCCCAGUCCUCUCUGGAUGCGGGACAGCUGUCGACUAGCAGUGACACAACCAGCCAUCAAGUGGAGAAUCGUUGCGACUGCAGUCUGUGUGCAGGUGGAGCCCGGGAGAAUGACAGUCUAAUUUCGGUCAUCCAACGGCUUUUCCUUAUUUUCCUAAAUAAUCGUGCUCGCUAAGUAUACAGUUGUCUGGAUUAGCCUGCCUGCCAUGCAGUCCUCAUCAACUCUGGCUGGAAAUCAGGGUGCCAGGCAAGCCGCCUUUAGCCCUGGCUCCUUUCUGCGUGAUGCUAUGCAGCUAGGAUGGGUCAUGCUGACAACAAAGAAGGAAGCAGAAAGCAUCACUUUCUCUUCUCUUGUGAUGUUAGCGGAACAUAACUCUUCUUCGCAGUGAUGCCCUUGUGUGUGGUGUAUGUGUGUGUGUGUGUGUGUGUGUUUUAAUUCAUCUAAUCGAAGAGCCCAACAAAUAUCAUCAUGGAUGUGAUUUUUAAUAAUUUGGAAAAAACAAAAAAAGACAGCCUGUGGAGACAGCGAUUCGAAACAGCGGCACAUUUAGGUUAUUGCCAAUUUGAAAUACUUGGUUUGUGAAGCUGAGCCCUAAGGGACAAGCUCGGUAACUGAGGAAGAGAUCGUAGAUAAAGAAAUAAAAAUGACAAGCGUAAUGGAGGCUCUGCGAAGGGACUGUCAGAGCAUCAGUUCAUGGAUGGCAAUUUCACCAGGCUGAGAUUGAAUAAUUCAUAGAUUGAAAUUACCCUGCUUUCACCUUUCCAUUUAAGCCGGCAUGAUCUGAAUCUCUCAUAAAUUUUCAAGAUAAAGUAAAAUGCCAAUUUGAAUCUGAAGAGCUUUUAAAACCAGAUGCUGCAUCCCUGAAUCUUUCGGUAUCUUUCACAAUUAUCCUAUGAGAACAGCACUUCAUCACGAAGCACCAUUACCAGGGAAAAUUACGGUGAUUACAAUAGCAACAAUAGAAUACCAUCAAAUGAUCUCUAAUUUACCUAAUUUGCUAAGACUGACUGUACGGUUUUGAUAUCCAUUGUAUGUCACCAUGCCCGGCACCCGUGAAGCUAUCUCGCACUGGAACAAAAGUGGCAUCGUGUGUGUGUGUGUGUAUGUGUGUAUGUGCACGCACACCCUGCUACCUUAACUGUGAAUGCCUAGCAAAGAACAUUCUCCUAGGUUACAAUAUUUCUUUCCUUUGGUUCACAUUUUCGCUUUUUUCCAAUGCCUCUACCCCAAAUGUGUUUGGGGAAAUGGAGAGCCUGUCAUGGGUUGGGAGACUGUUUUUUGAUACAGAAGAGCAUUGACUUGUUAAUUUAUAUACCCUCUUUAUUUUAAUGUAUACAAGCCUGUGUUUACUAAAAGGGAGGGAGGAUGCUGUUCUGGGAGAGUAAUUUUAAAAUGCAGCCGAGAUGUAGCAUAUGUGUUUGUUUCUUCUUUGAAACCCCUGUCUGUCUCUUUCAGGUUAGAAAUCCUUUCAGGGAAGUUUAGUCCUGGUGUGAUGUGUCAAAAACCUCUCAGAUUGCAAAGAAGCUCAGGAGAUACAAUCAGUAAUAACUCUGUACAGCUUUUAUUAAAAGCAUGCAUGUUCAAUUCAGUGAUUAAAUGAAGCUUCGGUACAACUUCGGCUAUGUUUGUGUCUGGUCACUCUGGAGUAGAAGUCUGUACUAAAGAGAACUUUUUGGGACAGGCUGCACGGUUCAUCUCAGGGUAAUUGUGCCAUCCUGAGAAGGUGGCAUGGAUCAUCAAUCCUCCCUGGAGAACAGACUGUAAUCAUUAAUAGGCACAAUGGCUUCUGGAAUUUUACUUUCAAUAGUGUGAAGGUAGUAUGUGGGUUUCUGCUAGUCAAGUGAUUUAAGUGUGAUUAUCGAAGGUAGGGCUUCAGAGGUAUGACCACCAUCUGGGAGGAAGCUUUACCCCUUCCCUUAUCCUGUGACCCAACAAAUACCUUUGUCAGAGCAGAACUGGAAAUAUCGACAAACAGCACUGAAGGCUCCUGGUCUACCACAGGAGGUGAUCUCUAGUGAAGAAGGUUCUCUUACAAGACCACCAACAUUCUUCAAACAUCAGUGAAAUAAAACAGGAGGAGGGUUUCGAGCUCUGGAUCCUCAGCCUGGAAAUGUCACAAUUUAAUCCCAAAGGUUUGCUGUGAAGUUGUAAGCAUGACAGUGUGAAACUCGACAGAUUAUUCUUGAAUUCUUUGUUUGUUUUCGUUGUGACCCGACUCUCAUAAAAUUUAUGUUUUCUUCCAAACCCCCAGGGUGUGUGGUCAUAUGACUUAAAUAGAGAAAAACAUUGUCAAAACAGUAUUGAGGAGUUAUCACUUUUACAUUGUUUUAAUUAAAGAAAAAGCCUUUCUAUCCAGGUCUAAUACCAUCAUUUUUAUGGGCAUGUUAAAGUAUCUAAUCUAAUACUGUAGUUAGUAGUAGUAUUUAGUAUUUUUAGUAUUAUUAUAGUUUUAUCUGUAUCUUAAAGAAAAAGUCAAUAAAUAUGAAAACAGAGUUUGUUUUGGGAAUGUAUGCAAGUGCCCUCCAUGUUAAAAUCAUUUCAAUUUUGUGUGCAUGCACACGUGCACACACACACACACACACACACACACGGAGAAGAUCAGUGAAUAUCCUAUUCACAAAUGUUACAAGGAUUAUCUCAGGGUGGUGGGAUGAAGA